rnacentral:rRNA from 1 species
AGAGUUUGAUCCGGCUCAGGAUGAACGCUGGCGGCGUGCUUAACACAUGCAAGUCGAACGAAGCACUGAAAGCAGAUUACUUCGGUUUGAAGCUUUCUUUGACUGAGUGGCGGACGGGUGAGUAACGCGUGGGUAACCUGCCUCAUACAGGGGGAUAACAGUUAGAAAUGACUGCUAAUACCGCAUAAGCGCACGGGACUGCAUGGUCUUGUGUGAAAAACUCCGGUGGUAUGAGAUGGACCCGCGUCUGAUUAGCUUGUUGGUGAGGUAACGGCCCACCAAGGCGACGAUCAGUAGCCGGCCUGAGAGGGUGAACGGCCACAUUGGGACUGAGACACGGCCCAAACUCCUACGGGAGGCAGCAGUGGGGAAUAUUGCACAAUGGGGGAAACCCUGAUGCAGCGACGCCGCGUGAAGGAAGAAGUAUUUCGGUAUGUAAACUUCUAUCAGCAGGGAAGAAAAUGACGGUACCUGACUAAGAAGCCCCGGCUAACUACGUGCCAGCAGCCGCGGUAAUACGUAGGGGGCAAGCGUUAUCCGGAUUUACUGGGUGUAAAGGGAGCGUAGGCGGUUCGGCAAGUCAGAAGUGAAAGCCCGGGGCUCAACUCCGGGACUGCUUUUGAAACUGUUGAACUAGAUUGCAGGAGAGGUAAGUGGAAUUUCCUAGUGUAGCGGUGAAAUGCGUAUAUAUUAAGAGGAACACCAGUGGAGAAGGCGGCUCACUGGACUAUAAAUGACGCUGAGGCUAGAAAAGCGUGGGGAACAAACAAGAUUAGAUACCCGGGUAGUCCACGCCGUAAACGAUGAAUACUAGGUGUCAGGGAGCAAAGCUCUUUGGUGCCCGCAGCAAACGGCAAUAAGUAUUCCACCUGGGGAGUACGUUCGCAAGAAUGAAACUCAAAGGAAUUGACGGGGACCCGCACAAGCGGUGGAGCAUGUGGUUUAAUUCGAAGCAACGCGAAGAACCUUACCAAGUCUUGACAUCUGGAUGACCGGCAGGUAAUGCUGCUUUCUCUUCGGAGCAUCCAAGACAGGUGGUGCAUGGUUGUCGUCAGCUCGUGUCGUGAGAUGUUGGGUUAAGUCCCGCAACGAGCGCAACCCUUAUCUUUAGUAGCCAGCAGGUAAGGCUGGGCACUCUAGAGAGACUGCCAGGGAUAACCUGGAGGAAGGUGGGGAUGACGUCAAAUCAUCAUGCCCCUUAUGAUUUGGGCUACACACGUGCUACAAUGGCGUAAACAAAGGGAAGCGAGCAUGUGAAUGUAAGCAAAUCUCAAAAAUAACGUCUCAGUUCGGAUUGUAGUCUGCAACUCGACUACAUGAAGCUGGAAUCGCUAGUAAUCGCGAAUCAGCAUGUCGCGGUGAAUACGUUCCCGGGUCUUGCACACACCGCCCGUCA